rnacentral:misc_RNA from 1 species
UCACAGAACUGGAAGUACGCUCAGA